rnacentral:rRNA from 1 species
CCUACGGGUGGCUGCAGUGGGGAAUAUUGCACAAUGGGCGCAAGCCUGAUGCAGCCAUGCCGCGUGUGUGAAGAAGGCCUUCGGGUUGUAAAGCACUUUCAGCGGGGAGGAAGGCGUUAAGGUUAAUAACCUUGGCGAUUGACGUUACCCGCAGAAGAAGCACCGGCUAACUCCGUGCCUGCAGCCGCGGUAAUACGGAGGGUGCAAGCGUUAAUCGGAAUUACUGGGCGUAAAGCGCACGCAGGCGGUCUGUCAAGUCGGAUGUGAAAUCCCCGGGCUCAACCUGGGAACUGCAUUCGAAACUGGCAGGCUAGAGUCUUGUAGAGGGGGGUAGAAUUCCAGGUGUAGCGGUGAAAUGCGUAGAGAUCUGGAGGAAUACCGGUGGCGAAGGCGGCCCCCUGGACAAAGACUGACGCUCAGGUGCGAAAGCGUGGGGAGCAAACAGGAUUAGAUACCCUAGUAGUC